UCCUCUAUCGCCGUUAGUUAACACUACAAGACAUUGCUGCAGCAGCAGUCCUCCACAAGCAGCUUGUGAGCCUGUAUGCAGCAAAGAUCAGGCAGGGGCAUACAGUAGCACCUUUGUCAGACCAUCAAGAACUGCAAUGACUGUGAUGUGGAACUUAGAAUGCAGUUUUAUGCCACACACCUUACUACUGCUUUAACCUUCCACUGACUCUGCAUGCUGAUGUGUGGUGGGGAAAGCAUGUGGUGUUGUCCACAGCAGCUGCAGGUUGCUGGGUGGGCCCUGUAGACAGACAAACAUGCCCAUCAGAAGUUAAAUACGCCAAACCCUGUAUAGGAGACUCCAUACAGAAUAUAUGCAGCAAGAGGUAAUUUGACACAAAAUCCAAAAACUGCAGUUGCCCUUGUUUGCUUGCACAUGAAUGACAAUUAUUCCCCCUCAAAAUCAGGGGGUCCCCAACUAUCUGUCAAUCUCAGAGUGAUGGACGCAACUGUGUAGAUACCUGUAGUCACAGCUAUCACCUCCCAAGCAGAAAAAGCAUGCCCGGGAAUCGAACUCAGGUCGGAACUGGGUUAUUUGCCUAAUCCACCCCGUUCUAUCAUGACAUCCCCAGAGAACACUUCACCAUUCUUAAGUUUUAGCUCUGUAUAUGAGUUACUAGUUACUAGUAGUAAGUAACAUACUUCCUCAACGGCUUCUUCCUGUUUGAACCUGGGUAGUUGCCUUAAUCAACCUGUUACAUCAUGAUUUCCCCCAGAGAACAACUCACCAGUGGUCACUAUUCACGUGUCAUGCCUCGUGAUAUGAGCCAGUAGCCAACAUACGCCUCCAUCCUCAACGGCUUCCAAACCGGCACCCAUAUCUCAGGCAGAGCGGCAUCAUGCUUAUGUCACCUUUCUUCAUCGUAGGCAGAGCUUUGGUGGAUGAUGCCGUCUGCAGCUCCCGUUUCUCGCUUCUGUACACAUGCCUGCUGAAGCAAGUUUACCAUAUGGGGUUGCAACCCCCUCAUUUGAGUCCUGCAGAUCAUACAAGCAAGCAGUUGCAUUGUCUAACAUGCAAGCCAAAUUUUACUACUUCGCAUGAGACAACAUCAUACUUUGGGUUGUUGCUUGGGUUUGGUGCUGCCCAGGUG
rnacentral:lncRNA from 1 species